CGUAAUGAUGGCCAGGCUGUCUCCACCCGAGACUCAGUGAAAUUGAACUCGCUGUGAAGAUGCAGUGUACCCGCGGCAAGACGGAAAGACCCCGUGAACCUUUACUAUAGCUUGACACUGAACAUUGAGCCUUGAUGUGUAGGAUAGGUGGGAGGCUUUGAAGUGUGGACGCCAGUCUGCAUGGAGCCAACCUUGAAAUACCACCCUUUAAUGUUUGAUGUUCUAACGUUGCCCCGUUAUCCGGGGUGCGGACAGUGUCUGGUGGGUAGUUUGACUGGGGCGGUCUCCUCCCAAAGAGUAACGGAGGAGCACGAA
rnacentral:rRNA from 1 species